AUUCUUGCCACCAGAGGGUUCUGUGCACUGCUCUGACUCAUUCCUGCCAUCUUUGCUCUUGUUUACACUUACUAUGUGUCUCUGACUUCACGUUUUUUCAUUAUUUCCGACUUAGUGAGUUACUCAAUCAUACCUAAAUGCCCCAGUGAUAGUUCCUGUUGUGCUGGGUGUACUGACCAUGGUCGUACAUGUUAGUUAACGUAAAAUCAGAUGAUCCAUAUUACACUCAAUAGCCCAUAAAACAUGUACGUACUGUAGCUGUGAUUUCUUUAAUGUGUCCCCAUUUGAGACGUCCGUUUUCUCACUGCUUCAGUGCGCCUGAGUCCUCCGUUUUCUCUCAUGUACCUCAGACACUCGGAUAUUUCUUAAUAACCUCAUAUGGUGCAUACAGCACAGAGCGGCAGCAGCCAGACUUCUCUGAAUAGGCUGGGUGGCUGGCAGAACUGUGUAGCUCACUUUUGGCAUCACCAAGAAGAUGGUUUGAGGACAGAAAGAUCUAUUUUUGAUGAUGACUUGGAGGAUGCAAGAAAUGGCCAGAAGAGUUUUUUCUGGUGAACUGAUUAUUGCUGCACUGCACCAGGAACACAAGUCAGGUUCUGGACCUUGUCAAGGAGAGGUGUGCACUCUGCUGUACCACACAUCUUGUACUGCUGUACUAGGCUUCUCUCCUCCAAUAUCAGGAUGGCAAGUGAUUCACAACACAACUAAAGGAAGCAGGUGGUACAGCCCAGACCCCAGCCUUCCACCCCUCCUCUCUACCUCAGAAAUGUUGUUCUGAACACUGGAGUGCCGUGCUGCCCUAGACUGUGCUUACUGGCUACUGCCUUGGAUUUCCCUGUAUUUGCUUGCUGGCUGCUACCCUGGACGGCUCUGCUCUGUGCUUGCUGGCUACUGCCCUGGACGGCUCUGCUCUGUGCUUGCUGGCUGCUGCCCUGGACGGCUCUGCUCUGUGCUUGCUGG
rnacentral:misc_RNA from 1 species